AAAUGAUUCAACCCUAAUACCACGUCUCUCUCUCUCUCUCGAGUUAGCCCUAAAAAAAGCUAAUGUCUGGGAUGUACGAUCAAGGAGGAGACGCUGCUCCUCCGUCUUACGGUGUCCCUGGGGGUGGUGGGGGAUACGGUGGUGGUGGUUAUGGUGGAAAGGGUGGUGACGGUGGAUAUGGAGGCGGAGGCCGGGGAGGCGGCGGCGGUAGAGGCUAUGCUGGACGAGGUGGCGGCGGAGGUGGAGGCUACGGUGGUCGAGGUGGCAGUGGCGGAGGGAGUUAUCAAGGAGGAGAUCGCGGAGGGCGAGGCAGUGGACGUGGUGGCGGAGGUGGUCGUGGCGGAAGCGGCAGAGAUGGUGAUUGGGUCUGCCCUAAUCCUGGCUGUGGGAAUUUGAACUUUGCUAGGAGAGUGGAGUGUAAUAAGUGUGGUGCACCCUCACCUGGGGGUGCUAGCGGCGGCGGCGGUGGUGGUGGUUUUAAUAGAGGUGGAGGUGAUGGUGGUUACAAUAGAGGUGGAGGUGAUGGGGGUUACGGUGGUAAUCGUAAUGGCAGAGGUGGUAGUUUCCAUGGUGGUCGAAGUGGAACUCACGAUGGAGGCCGAAAUGAAGGAGGAAACAGAGGUGGUAACUCGUACGGUGGUCACCAGGGAGGAGAAGAUAGUGGUCACAGUCAGGUUCCCCCUUCCUCAGCACCCUCAUCUGGUGGCCUGGCUGGCUCUUAUCCACCAUCUUACCAUGGUGGAAGUGCAGAUUACGGGACUGAUGCAGUUCCUCCCCCUGCAAGCUACAGUGGAACUACAUACCCUCCAACUUAUGGUGGUCCAUCUGGUGGCUAUGGUGGAGAUAGUCUAGGUGAUGGGCGGAGUGCUGCCGGUCGGGGUGGACCAUCAGCUGGAUAUGACGGCGGCUACAAUGCAGGUGGUAGAGGUGGCUAUAAUUCUGGUGGUAGAGGAGGAGGAAGCUAUAAUACUGGUGGUGGUAGAGGUGGCAGUUAUGGAAGUACACCAGCAGCAGAGCCAGCGCAGGUUAAACAGUGCGAUGAUAAUUGUGAUGACUCGUGUGAUAACUCUAGAAUCUAUGUUUCUAAUUUGCCAACAGAUGUGACAAUUGAUGAAUUGAGAGAACUAUUUGGUGGAAUUGGUCAAAUUGGAAGAAUUAAGCAGAAGAGGGGCUACAAGGAUCAGUGGCCUUGGAACAUUAAAAUAUAUACAGAUGAGAUGGGAAAUAACAAAGGCGAUGCAUGUGUAUCAUACGAAGAUCCCCAAGCAGCGCAUUCUGCUGGUGGUUUCUAUAACAAUUAUGAUUUGAGAGGCUAUAGCAUCAGUGUUGCAAUGGCUGAGAAGUCUGCACCGAGGGCCCCACCUACAUACAAUCAUGGUGGUGGUGGUAGAGGUGGUGGAUAUGGAGGUGGUGGGGAUAGGCGCAGAGAUAGCUAUAGGGACGGAACCUCUGGACCUGAUAGACAUCAGCAUGGUGGAAAUAGAUCUCGUCCUUACUGAGAAAUUCGGCAUUGAGCAUUUUAUGUAAUGGGAAUUGUGAUCUUAGUGUUUUAAUUUUGUUCCAUGGCUGGAUUCUUGAAUUGGAGACCAAAGAGAGGCAGGCGGAUAAUCUCCAAACUGCUUGUUGCUAAGGUAGGUGUUGAUGUUUCAGGUGAGUGCUUCUCUUUCCAUAACCAUUCUUAGAAUUUUGCACGAGUGGCUCUGAUGUAUAAAGCUCCACCUGAGCUCAGAUACAUCUCUGUUGGCUCCUAAUGCAAGCAUAUCUUAACCUAUAAUCAUCAUUUCUGCAUUCAUAUUUUAGUUACUAAAUAUUAACUUGACAUAGUUUAUUAUUAUUAUUUAUUUGUUAGGAUGACUGUAUAAUCUGUCUUAUUCCAUAAUUCGUCUUGCAUGUGUUCAUGGCUGCUUGUGAUAUUUAAUUUUUUCAAAAGAGAACAGACAAUAUCAUAUCAACAAAUAACUCGUAGGUUACAGUGUGGCAAGUUACAUAUGUGAAGUAAAAUGGUUAAGUGGGCCACCCGUAGAAUUUUGGAAAUAUUUCGUUUUUGGGACUGGGAUUUUGCUGUUGGUGCAAUAAUGUCGGACUCCAGAUUUUCAAAAGACUCAUUAUAGUUAAAGUGAUAAGGCAAAAAUAAUGUCAUGGAUUGUGAUGCCCUGGCGCUGCCAUUCAUAUUCGGUCAAUGUGUUAGGCUUCUUUGGAGCUCUGCCAUGGAAAUAUUCAGCAAUAACUUUGGAAUUGUGUCAUAGGAGUUGGAUUGUGUUAGUAAAAAAAAAACUUCUGUACUUUUUCUUUUUGUUUAAUUAUAUAGGAUGGAGAGGUUUUUUCAUUGUUGCGUGGUUUAUAACAUUUUGCAUAAGCUUGUUCGUAUGAGCAAAAGAAUGGUAAUUUUCUGUAUGUUCAUUAUUUUCAUACA